rnacentral:rRNA from 1 species
UUCAAUUUCAUUAUCAUCUACGGCCAUGCCCAAUCCCAUCUGAUCUCAGAAGCUAAGCAGGGUCGGGCCUGGUUAGUACUUGGAUGGGAGACCACCUAGGAAGGCCUGGUGCUGUAGGCA